rnacentral:lncRNA from 1 species
GAUAAUGAAAAGAAGUAUGAAGGGAAUGGGGCCUGUCCCUAAAUCUUAACCAAAGCCUGCCUCUAGAUUUUCAUGUCGGCGCAUUAUGAUUCAUAAUCUUCUUUCUUUUUCUUUCUCUAUUUAUAAACCCUAGCUUUCUUCUCCUUUCUUCCUCGUACUAACCCUUUUUUUGCCCUAAUAUGCUUCCCCAGCUACUUUACUUACUUACAGCUCAUUGAUGUCACAUGAACGUAAUAGACAAAUGCGUGCAGUGACUUUUCUUUUCAUCAGUCUAGUUCUCAAUGAGUACGCUUGAGGAUUUUUUUUCUUGUACUACGCCAAUGUCCUAGUUCCAUCUUCUUCUUCCUGUCCUCUUCUUGUUUUGUUCAUGUAGGAGAAGUGUCCUUUGUAUUUUUUUUUUUAAACCUUUGCACGUGCAUGACUAGUAAACUAUACUUCUUUCCUUCUGCAAUAUAUAUAUAUAUAUACAUAUAUGGGGAAUACCCAUAUAAGAUGUGAAACACAUAUCGUGUGUGUAUAUAUAUAUAUGUAUAUAUUGCGUUCAUCUUGUGUGUGUGUGUGUAACAGAGAUAGAGAGAGUGAGAGAGGUGUUGAAGAAGGAGCUCUCUUCAGUCCAGUCCGAGGCGGCGGAGAGCUGAGGACACGGCUGCUGACUCGUUGAUUCAAGAACUCAUCAGCAUCGAAGAAGAUGAUGAAGGGCUUCAAGUACAUGACAUGGUUGAAUAUAUUGAUGAGUUUUUGAUGCAACGAUGCAGGAGCUAUGUACAGCUAUAUUGCCGUCGCGUCUUGGACUGAAGGGAGCUCCCUCCUUACUUCAUUUUCUCACUUUGAUAUACAUAUAUACAUACAUAAUUUUCUCAUAUAUAAAUAAAUUUCCUAGGCUUAUUAAUUUCUUUUCUUGUGUUUUUAUAGGUCUCCACGGUCAUGCCAGAAAGUUAAUUUUAUUAAAUCCUUUCUCAGUCGGUUGACGUGAUCGUGAAGGUGCAUGGUGCGGCAUUGCGGAGGUUAAUACUUUCAGGCUUUGAUUGAUAAUCUAUGCAUGCAUCAUGUAAUGGAUGAAUGAAUAUUUAGGGUCGGGUCGGGUCGGGUCGGGAUAAUCAAUGAAAAAUUUAAGUAAUUGUUAAAAUUUUUUAUAUUUGUAUGGUUGUAUAUUAAUGUGUUUUAAAGCAUAUUUUUUUUUGUUUAAAUGGCAGAUGAUAUGAUUGGUAUAUU